rnacentral:lncRNA from 1 species
UUAUCAGUUUAUAAGUGGAGCACUCGAAGCUUAAUGCUUUUGAAAUUUUAUGUUUUGCUUUGAAAAUGAUUUUCACUGGAGUCAAGCUUUAAAAUAUUAAAGCAUUGUUUUAGCAGGUUUUUAAAUGAAAAUGAAUUUGAUUAUCUUGAAUCCAAUGUUUUAAACUUGCUUAAACAAAAAAACAUGGUAAAACUUGCAUUAGUUUUAAAUUUUCAUAAUGUUAACUGUAAGUUAUAAAGGAUUUUAGAGUUUAAAACAUUAAACUUUGUUUAUUAACAAUUCUGGGCGUAAAAAGCAUUCGCACAAUUAUUGCACGAUUUUAAUUUUUCGUUGUGUUGCAUUACCUAUUUGCUUUUAGAUACAUUUCUAGGUGCUCUAAGGAAGUUAAGGAAUUACAUAGGAAUAAUCUUCAUAUUUGGUUAUUAUUUGUGAAGUUGUUAUUGGUGCUUGAUUUGAUUAAUUAUGUGCUAAAUCGUUUUAGAAGUUUAUAUGGGGAGACUCGAACCCUAAUGCUUUUGAAAUUUUAUGUUUUGCUUUGAAAAUGAUUUUCACUGGUAUAAAGUUUUAAAAUAUGAAAGCAUUGUUUUAGCAGAUUUUUAAAUGAAAAUGAAAUUGAAUAUCUUGAUUCCAAUGUUUUAAACUUACUCAAAAAAAGAAACAUGGUAAAACUUGCACUGGUUUUAAUUUUUCAUACUGUUAAGUGUAAGUUAUAAAGUAUUUUGGAGCUUAAAACAUCAGGCUUUGUUUCUAACCAACUCUGUGCUUAAAAGCCAUUCGCACAAUUAUUGCACGAUUUUAAUUUUUCAUUGCGUUUCAUACUUAUUUGCUUUUAGAUACAAUUUUAGGUGCUUGAGGGAUGUUGAGGAAUUACUUAUGAAUGAUCUUCAUAUUUGGAUAUUAUUUGUGAAGUUGUUAUUGGUGUUUGAUGUGAUUAAUUAUGUGCUAAAUUGUUUUAGCAGUUUAUGAGUGAAGCACUCGAAGCUUAAUACUUUUUAAAUUUUAUGUUUUGCUUUGAAAAUGAUUUUCACUGGUAUAAAGCUUUAAAAUAUGAAAGUAUUGUUUUAGCAGAUUUUUAAAUUGAAAUGAAUUUGAAUAUCUUGAAUCCAAUGUUUUAAACUUGUUCAAACAAAGAAACAUGGUAAAACUUGCAUUGGUUUUAAUUUUCCGAAAUGUUAAGUGUAAGUUAUAAAGGAUUUUGGAGCUUAAAACAUCAGACUUUGUUUAUGAAGAAUGGGCAGAAAAACCAUUUGCACAAUUAUUGCACGAUUUGAAUUUUUCAUUGUGUUUCAUACUUAUUUGCUUUUAGAUACAUUUUUAGGUGCUCUAAGGAUGUUGAGGAAUUACAUAUGAAUAAUCUUUAUAUUUGGAUAUUAUUGUGAGUUGUUAUUGGUGCUUGAUGUGAUUAAUUGUCUGCUAAAUUGUAUUCAGCAGUUUAUAAGGGGAGCACUCGAACCUAAUGCUUUUCGAAAUUUUAUGUUUUGCUUUGAAAAUUAUUUUCACCGGUAUCAAGCUUUAAAAAUACGAAGGCAUUGUUUUAGCAGGUUUUUUAAAUGGUAAUGAUCUUGAAUAUCUUGAAUCCAAUGUUUUAAACUUGCUCAAACAAAGAAACAUGGCAAAACUUGCUUUGGUUUUAAUUUUUCACAGUGUUAAGUGUAUGUUAUAAAGGAUUUUGAGCUUAAACCAUCAUACUUUAUUUCUGAACAAUUAUGGGCUUAAAAACCAUUCUUUCAAUUAUUGCACGAUUUUAAUUUUUUGUUGUGUUUCAUACUUAUUUGCUUUUAGAUACUUUUUUAGGUGCUCUAAGGAUGUUGAGGAAUUACAUAUGAAUGAUUUUCAUAUUUUGAUAUUAUUUGUGAAGUUGUUAUUGGUGCUUGAUGUGAUUAAUUAUAUGCUAAAUUGUUUUAGCAGUUUAUAAGGAGAGCACUCGAACUCUAAUGCUUUUGAAAUUUUAUGUUUUCCUUUAAAAAUGAUUUUCACUGGUAUAAAGCUUGAAAAUAUGAAAGCAUUGUUUUAGCAGAUUUUUAAUUGGAAAUGAAUUUGAAUAUCUUGAAUCCAAUUUUUUAAACUUGUUCAAACAAAGAAACAUGGUAAAACUUGCAUUGGUUUUAAUUUUUCGUAAUGUUAACUGUAAGUUAUAAAGGAUUUUAGAGUUUAAAACAUUAAACUUUGUUUAUGAACAAUUCUGGGCAUAAAAACCAUUCGCACAAUUAUUGCACGAUUUUAAUUUUUCAGUGUGUUUCAUACUUAUUUGCUUUUAGAUACAUUUUUUGGUGCUCUAAGUAUGUUGAGGAAUUACAUAGGAAUAAUCUUCAUAUUUGGUUAUUAUUUGUCGAGUUGUUAUUGUGCUUGAUGUGAUUAAUUGUCUGCUAAAUUGUUUCAGCAGUUUUAUAAGGAGAGCACUCGAAACUAAUGCUUUUGAAAUUUUAUGUUUUGCUUGAAAAUGAUUUUCACCGGUAUCAAGCUUUAAAAUACGAAGGCAUUUGUUUAGCAGGUUUUUAAAUGCAAAUGAUCUUGAAUAUCUUGAAUCCAACGUUUUUAAACUUGCUCAAACAAAGAAACAUGGCAAAACUAACUUGCAUUGGUUUAAUUUUCACAGUGUUAAGCGUAUGUUAUAAAGGAUUUUGGAGCUUAAACCAUUAGACUUUGUUCUGAACAAUUAUGGCUUAAAAGCCAUUCGCACAAUAUAUUGCACGGUUUUUAAUUUUUUCGUUUAUUCAUGCUUAUUUGCUUUUAGAUACACUUUUAGGUGGCUCUAAGGACGCUGAGGAUUACGUAUUAAUGAUCUUUCAUAUUUGGAUAUUAUUUGUGAAGUUGUUAUUAGUUCUUGAUGUGAUUAAUUAUGUGCUAAAUUGUUUUAUAAGUUUAUAUGGGGAGGACUCGAAGCCUAAUGGUUUUGAAAUUUUAUGUUUUGCUUUGAAAAUGAUUUUCACUGGUAUCAAGCUUUAAAAUAUGAAUGCAUUGUUUUACCAGAUUUUUAAAUGGAAAUAAAUUUAAAUAUCUUGAAUCCAAUGUUUUAAACUUCCUCAAACAAAGAAACAUAGUAAAACGUCCAUUGUUUUUAAUUUUUCAAAAUGUUAAGUGCAAGUUAUAAAGGAUUUUGGAGCUCGAAACAUCAAACUUUAUUUAUGAACAAUUUUGGGCAUAAAAGUCUUUCGCACGGUUAUUGCACGAUUUUAAUUUUUCGUUGUGUUUCAUACUUAUUUUCUUUUAGAUACAUUUUUAGGCGCUCUAAGGGAGUUGAGGAAUUACAUAUGAACGAUCUUCAUAUUUGGAUAUUAUUUGUGGAGUUGUUAUUGGUGCCUGAUGUGAUUAAUUGUCUGCUAAAUUGUUUCAGCAGUUUUAUAAGGAGAGCACUCGAAACCUAAUGCUUUUGAAAUUUUAUGUUUUGCUCUGAAAAUGAUUUUCACUGGUAUCAAGCUUUAAAAUACGAAGGCAUUGUUUUAGCAGGUUUUUUAAAUGCAAAUGAUCUCGAAUAUCUUGAAUCCAAUGUUUUAAACUUGCUCAAACAAAGAAACAUGGCAAAACUUGCAUUGGUUUUAAUUUUUCAUAGUGUUAAGCGUAUGUUAUAAAGGAUUUUGGAGCUUAAACCAUUAGACUUUGUUUCUGAACAAUUAUGGGCUUAAAAGCCAUUCGCACAAUUAUUGCACGAUUUUUAUUUUUCGUUGUUAUUCAUGCUUAUUUGCUUUUAGAUACAUUUUUAGGUGCUCUAAGGAUGUUGAGGAAUUACGUAUUAAUGAUCAAAUAAUAUUUGGAUAUUAUUUGUGAAGUUGUUAUUGUUGCUUGAUAUGAUUAAUUAUGUGCUAAAUUCUUUUAUAAGUUUAUAUGGGGAGGACUCGAAGCCAUUAAGUUUUGAAAUUUUAUGUUUUGCUUUGAAAAUGAUUUUCACUUGUAUCAAGCUUUAAAAUAUGAAAGCAUUGUUUUAGCAGAUUUUUAAUUGGAAAUGAAUUUUAAUAUCUUGAAUCCAAUGUUUUAAACUUGCUCAAACAAAGAAAUAUGGUAAAACUUGCAUUGGUUUUAAUUUUUCAUAAUGCUAAGUGUAAGUUACAAACGAUUUUCGAGCUUAAAACAUCAAAUUUUCUUUCUAAACAAUGCUAGGAGUAAAAACAAUUUGCACAAUUAUUGCAAUAUUUUAAUUUUUCGUUGUGUUUUCAUACUUACUUACUUUUAGAUACAUUUAUUGGUGCUCUAGGGAUGUUGAGGAAUUACCUAUGAAUGGUCAAAUAAUAUUUGGAUAUUAUUUGUGAAGUUGUUAUUGUUGCUUGAUAUGAUUAAUUAUGUGGUAAAUUGUUUUAUAAGUUUAUAUGGGGAGGACUCGAAGCCAUUAAGUUUUGAAAUUUUAUGUUUUGCUUUGAAAAUGAUUUUCACUGGUAUCAAGCUUUAAAAUAUGAAAGCAUUGUUUUAGCAGAUUUUUAAAUGGAAAUGAAUUUAAAUAUCUUGAAUCCAAUGUUUUAAACUUCCUCAAACAAAGAAACACAGUAAAACGUGCAUUGGUUUUAAUUUUUCAAAAUGUUAAGUGUAAGUUAUAAAGGAUUUUGGAGCUCAAAACAUCAGACUUUGUUUAUUAACAAUUCUGGGUGUAAAAAUCAUCCGCACAGUUAUUGCACGAUUUAAAUUUUUCGUUGUGUUUCAUACUUAUUUUCUUUUAGAUACUUUUUUAGGUGCUCAAAGGAUGUUGAGGAAUUACAUAUGAAUGAUCUUCAUAUUUGGAUAUUAUUUGUGAAGUUGUUAUUGGUGUUUGAUGUGAUUAAUUAUGUGCUAAAUUGUUUUAUAAGGUUUUAUGGGGAGGACUCGAAGCCUAAUGGUUUUGAAAUUUUAUGUUUUGCUUGAAAAUGAUUUUCACUGGUGUAAAGCUUUAAAAUAUGAAAGCAUUGUUUCAGCAGAUUUUGAAGUGGAAAUAAAUUUGAAUAUCUUGAAUCCAAUAUUUUAAACUUGCUCAAACAAAGAAACAUGGGAAAUUUGGCAUUGGUAUUAAUUUUUCAUAAUGUUAAGUGUAAGUUAUAAAAGAUUUUGGAGCUUAAAACAUCAAACUUUGUUUAUGAACAAUUCUGGGUGUAAAACCCAUUCGCAAAACUAUUGCACGAUUUUAAUUUUUCAUUGUCUUUCAUACUUAUUUGCUUUUAGAUACAUUUUUUGGUGCUCUAAGUAAGUUGAGGAAAUACAUAGGAAUAAUCUUCAUAUUUUGUUAUUAUUUGUCAAGUUGUUAUUGGUUCUUGAUUUGUUUAAUUAUGUGCUAAAUUGUUUUAGAAGUUUAUAUGGGGAGAGUAGAAGCCUAAUGUUUUUUAAAUUUUAUGUUUUGCUUUGAAAAUGAUUUUCACUGGUAUCAAACUUUAAAAUAUGAAAGCAUUGUUUUAGCAGAUUUUUAAUUGGAAAUGAAUUUUAAUAUCUUGAAUCCAAUGUUUUAAACUUGCUCAAACAAAGAAAUAUGGUAAAACUUGCAUUGGUUUUAGUUUUUCAUAAUGCUAAGUGUAAGUUAUAAAGGAUUUUCGAGCUUAAAACAUCAAAUUUUGUUUCUAAACAAUGCUGGGAGAAAAAAUAAUUUGCACAAUUAUUGCAGUAUUUUAAUUUUUCGUUGUGUUUUCAUACUUACUUGCUUUUAGAUACAGUUUUAGGUGCUCUAGGGAUGUUGAGGAAUAACGUAUAAAUGAUCAAAUAAUAUUUGGAUAUUAUUUGUGAAGUUGUUAUUGUUGCUUGAUAUGAUUAAUUAUGUGCUAAAUUGUUUUAUAAGGUUUUAUGGGGAGGACUCGAAGCCUAAUGGUUUUGAAAUUUUAUGUUUUGCUUUGAAAAUGAUUUUCACUGGUGUAAAGCUUUAAAAUAUGAAAGCAUUGUUUCAGCAGAUUUUGAAGUGGAAAUAAAUUUGAAUAUCUUGAAUCCAAUAUUUUAAACUUGCUAAAACAAAGAAACAUGAGAAAAUUUGCAUUGGUUUUAAUUUUUCAUAAUGUUAAGUGUAAGUUAUAAAAGAUUUUGGAGCUUAAAACUUCAAACUUUGUUUAUGAACAAUUCUGGGCGUAAAACUCAUUCGCACAAUUAUUGCACGAUUUUAAGUUUUCAUUGUGUUUCAUACUUAUUUUCUUUUAGAUACAUUUUUAGGUGCUCGAAGGGUGUUGAGUAAUUACAUAUGAAUGAUCUUCAUAUUUGGAUAUUAUUUGUGAAGUUGUUAUUGGUGUUUGAUGUGAUUAAUUAUGUGCUAAAUUGUUUUAUAAGUUUAUAUGGGGAGUAUUAAAAGACUAAUGUUUUUGAAAUUUUAUGUUUUGCUUUGAAAAUGAUUUUCACUGGUAUUAAGCUUUAAAAUAUGAAAGCAUUGUUUUAGCCGGUUUUUAAUUGGUAAAACUUGCAUUGGUUUUAGUUUUUCAUAAUGCUAAGUGUAAGUUAUAAAGGAUUUUCGAGCUGAAAACAUCAAAUUUUGUUUCUAAACAAUGCUGGGAGUAAAAAUAAUUUGCACAAUUAUUGCAGUAUUUUAAUUUUUCGUUGUGUUUUCAUACUUACUUGCUUUUAGAUACAUUUUUAGGUGCUCUAGGGAUGUUGAGGAAUUACGUAUGAAUGAUCAAAUAAUAUCUGGAUAUUAUUUGUGAAGUUGUUAUUGUUGCUUGAUAUGAUUAAUUAUGUGAUAAAUUGUUUUAUAAGGUUUUGUGGGGAGGACUCGAAGCCUAAUGGUUUUGAAAUUUUAUGUUUUGCUUUGAAAAUGAUUUUCACUGGUGUAAAGCUUUAAAAUAUGAAAGCAUUGUUUCAGCAGAUUUUGAAGUGGAAAUAAAUUUGAAUAUCUUGAAUCCAAUAUUUUAAACUUGCUAAAACAAAGAAACAUGAGAAAAUUUGCAUUGGUUUUAAUUUUUCAUAAUGUUAAGUGUAAGUUAUAAAAGAUUUUGGAGCUUAAAACUUCAAACUUUGUUUAUGAACAAUUCUGGGCGUAAAACCCAUUCGGACAAUUAUUGCACGAUUUUAAGUUUUCAUUGUGUUUCAUACUUAUUUUCUUUUAGAUACAUUUUUAGGUGCUCGAAGGGUGUUGAGGAAUUACAUAUGAAUGAUCUUCAUAUUUGGAUAUUAUUUGUGAAGUUGUUAUUGGUGUUUGAUGUGAUUAAUUAUGUGCUAAAUUGUUUUAUAAGUUUAUAUGGGGAGUAUUCAAUGACUAAUGUUUUUGAAAUUUUAUGUUUUGCUUUGAAAAUGAUUUUCACUGGUAUUAAGCUUUAAAAUAUGAAAGCAUUGUUUUAGCCGGUUUUUAAUUGGUAAAACUUGCAUUGGUUUUAGUUUUUCAUAAUGCUAAGUGUAAGUUAUAAAGGAUUUUCGAGCUUAAAACAUCAAAUUUUGUUUCUAAACAAUGCUGGGAGUAAAAAACAAUUUUUGCACAUAUAUUGCAGUAGUUUUAAAUUUUUCGUUGUGUUUUCAUAACUUACUUGCUUUUAGAUACAUUUUUAGGUGCUCUUAGGGAUGUUUGAGGAAUUAACGUAUGAAUGAUCAAAUAAUAUUAUGGAUAUAUUUGUGAAGUUGUUAUUGUUUGCUUGAUAUGUUAAUUAUGUGCUAAAUUGUUUUAUAAGGUUUUGUGGGAGGACUGCGAGCCUAAUGGUUUUGAAAUUUAUGUUUUGCUUUGAAAAUGAUUUUUCACUGGUGUAAAGCUUUAAAAAUAUGAAAGCAUUGUUCAGCAGAUUUUGAGUUGGAAUAAAUUUGAAUAUCUUGAUCCCCAAUUAUUUUUUAAACUUGGCUCAAACAUAAAAUAUGGUUAAAACUUGCAUUGGUUUUAAUUUUUCCAUAAUUUUAAGUGUAAGUUUAAAAGAUUUUGGAGCUGAAAACAUCAGGCUUUGUUUCUGAACAACUUAGGGCUUAAAAAUCAUUCGCACAAUUAUUGCACGAUUUUAAUUUUUCGUUGUGUUUCACACUUAUUUGCUUUUAGAUACAUUUUUACGUGCUCUAAAGAUGUUGAGGAAUUACAUAUGAAUGAUCUUCAUAUUUGGAUAUUAUUUGUGAAGUUGUUAUUGGUGCUUGAUGAUAAUUAUGUGCUAAAUUGUUUUAGCAGUUUAUAAGUGGAGCACUCGAAGCUUAAUACUUUUAAAAUUUUAUGUUUUGCUUUGAAAAUGAUUUUCACUGGAGUUAAGCUUUAAAAUAUGAAAUCAUUGUUUUAGCAGGUUUUUAAUUGGAAAUAAAUUUGAAUAUCUUGAAUCCAAUGUUUUCAACUAGCUCAAACAAAGAAACAUGGUAAAACUUGCAUUGGUUUUAACUUUUCAUAAUGUUAUGUGUAAGUUAUAAAGGAUUUUGGAGCCUAAAAUAUCAGACUUUGUUUAUGAACAAUUCUGGGCGUAAAAACCAUUCGCACAAUUGUUGCACAAUUUUAAUUUUUCGUUGUGUUUCAUACAUAUAUUUGCUUUUAGAUACAUUUUUAGGUGCUUGAAGGAUGUUGAGGAAUUACAUAUGAAUGAUCUUCAUAUUUGGAUAUUAUUUGUGAAGUUGUUAUUGGUGUUUGAUGUGAUUAAUUAUGUGCUAAAUUGUUUUAUAUGUUUAUAUGGGGAGGACUCGAAGACUAAUGUUUUUGAAAUUUUAUGUUUUGCUUUGAGAAUGAUUUUCACUAGUACCAAGCUUUAAAAUAUGAAAGAAUUAUUUUAGCAGGUUUUUAAAUGAAAAUGAAUUUGAAUAUCUUGAAUCCAAUAUUUUAAACUUGCUCAAACAAAAAAACAUGGUAAAACUUGCGUUGGUUUUAAUUUUUCAUAAUCGUAAUUGUAUGUUAUAAAGGAUUUUGGAGCUUAAAACAUCAGGCUUUGUUUCUGAACAACUUAGGGCUUAAAAACCAUUCGUAUAAUUAUUGCACGAUUUUAAUUUUUCGUUGUGUUUCAUACCUAUUUGCUUUUAGAUACAUUUUUACGUGCUCUAAGGAUGUUGAGGAAUUACAUAUGAAUGAUCUUCAUAUUUGGAUAUUAUUUGUAAAGUUGUUAUUGAUGCUUGAUGUGGUUAAUUAUGUGCUAAAUUGUUUUAGCAGUUUAUAAGUGGAGCACUCGAAGCCUAAUGCUUUUGAAAUUUUAUGUUUUGCUUUGAAAAUGAUUUUCAUUGGAGUUAAGCUUUAAAAUAUGAAAUCAUUGUUUUAGCAGGUUUUUAGUUGGAAAUGAAUUUGAAUAUCUUGAAUCCAAUGUUUUCAACUUGCUCAAACAAAGAAACAUGGUAAAACUUGCAUUGGUUUUAACUUUUCAUAAUGUUAAGUGUAAGUUAUAAAAGAUUUUGGAGCCUAAAACAUCAGACUUUGUUUAUGAACAAUUCUGGGCGUAAAAACCAUUCGCACAAUUGUUGCACGAUUUUAAUUUUUCAUUGUGUUUCAUACUUAUUUGCUUUUAGAUACAUUUUAGGUCCUCUAAGGAUAUUGAGGAAUUACAUAUGAAUAAUCUUUAUAUUGGGAUAUUAUUUGUGAAGUUGUCAUUAGUGCUUCAUAUGAUUAAUUAUGUGCUAAAUUAUUUUAUAAGGUUAUAUGGGGACGACUCGAAGCCUAAUGGGAAUGAAUUUGAAUAUCUAGAAUCCAAUGUUUUAAACUUGCUCAAACAAAGAAAUAUGGUAAAACUUGAAUUGGUUUUAAUUUUUCAUCAUGUUAAGUGUAAGUUAUAAAGGAUUUUCGCGAUUAAAACAUCAGAUUUUGUUUAUGAAUAAUUCUGCGCGUAAAAAUAAUUCGCACAAUUACUGCACGAUUUGAAGUUUCCGUUGUGUUUCAUACUUAUUUACUUUUAGAUACAUUUUUAAAUGCUCUAAGGAUGUUGAGGAAUUACAUACGAAUGAUUUUCAUAUUUGGAUAUUAUUUGUGAAGUUGUUAUUG